rnacentral:rRNA from 1 species
AGCGAACGCUGGCGGCAGGCUUAACACAUGCAAGUCGAGCGGGCAUAGCAAUAUGUCAGCGGCAGACGGGUGAGUAGCGCGUGGGAACGUACCUUUUGGUUCGGAACAACACAGGGAAACUUGUGCUAAUACCGGAUAAGCCCUUACGGGGAAAGAUUUAUCGCCGAAAGAUCGGCCCGCGUCCGAUUAGCUAGUUGGUGAGGUAAUGGCUCACCAAGGCGACGAUCAGUAGCUGGUCUGAGAGGAUGAUCAGCCACAUUGGGACUGAGACACGGCCCAAACUCCUACGGGAGGCAGCAGUGGGGAAUAUUGGACAAUGGGCGCAAGCCUGAUCCAGCCAUGCCGCGUGAGUGAUGGAGGCCCUAGGGUUGUAAAGCUCUUUUGUGCGGGAAGAUAAUGACGGUACCGCAAGAAUAAGCCCCGGCUAACUUCGUGCCAGCCGCCGCCGUAA